GUGCCAGCAGCCGCGGUAAUACGUAGGGUGCGAGCGUUGUCCGGAAUUACUGGGCGUAAAGAGCUCGUAGGUGGUUUGUCGCGUCGUCUGUGAAAUUCCGGGGCUUAACUCCGGGCGUGCAGGCGAUACGGGCAUAACUUGAGUGCUGUAGGGGAGACUGGAAUUCCUGGUGUAGCGGUGAAAUGCGCAGAUAUCAGGAGGAACACCAAUGGCGAAGGCAGGUCUCUGGGCAGUAACUGACGCUGAGGAGCGAAAGCAUGGGUAGCGAACAGGAUUAGAUACCCUGGUAGUCCAUGCCGUAAACGGUGGGCGCUAGGUGUGGGGGUCUUCCACGACUUCUGUGCCGUAGCUAACGCAUUAAGCGCCCCGCCUGGGGAGUACGGCCGCAAGGCUAAAACUCAAAGGAAUUGACGGGGGCCCGCACAAGCGGCGGAGCAUGUGGAUUAAUUCGAUGCAACGCGAAGAACCUUACCUGGGCUUGACAUAUGCCGGAUCGGCGCAGAGAUGCGUUUUCCCUUGUGGUCGGUAUACAGGUGGUGCAUGGUUGUCGUCAGCUCGUGUCGUGAGAUGUUGGGUUAAGUCCCGCAACGAGCGCAACCCUUGUCUUGUGUUGCCAGCACGUUAUGGUGGGGACUCGCGAGAGACUGCCGGGGUUAACUCGGAGGAAGGUGGGGAUGACGUCAAAUCAUCAUGCCCCUUAUGUCCAGGGCUUCACACAUGCUACAAUGGUCGGUACAGUGGGUUGCUACACCGUGAGGUGGUGCUAAUCCCUUAAAGCCGGUCUCAGUUCGGAUUGGAGUCUGCAACUCGACUCCAUGAAGUCGGAGUCGCUAGUAAUCGCAGAUCAGCAACGCUGCGGUGAAUACGUUCCCGGGCCUUGNNCACACCGCCCGU
rnacentral:rRNA from 1 species